rnacentral:rRNA from 1 species
UACGUAUGUGACAAGCGUUGUCCGGAAUCAUUGGGCGUAAAGAGCGUGUAGGCGGUUCGGUAAGUCGGCUGUGAAAGUCCAGGGCUCAACCCUGGGAUGCCGGUCGAUACUGCCGGACUAGAGUUCGGAAGAGGCGAGUGGAAUUCCCGGUGUAGCGGUGAAAUGCGCAGAUAUCGGGAGGAACACCUAUGGCGAAGGCAGCUCGCUGGGACGUUACUGACGCUGAGACGCGAAAGCGUGGGGAGCAAACAGG